GCAUGGCAGAAUACUAUGUUCUUUAAUCAGUAGUUUUCACAGCCAGACACCAUGCAAAAGUAAAGUCUUCACCUUAAAAUGACUAUAAUUGUGUGCUAAAUUUUCCAUCGUGUAUCAUUAUUAGAAGUGAAUACAAAA
rnacentral:snoRNA from 1 species